AAUUCCUUGUCGGGUAAGUUCCGACCUGCACGAAUGGCGUAACGAUGGCGGCGCUGUCUCCACCCGAGACUCAGUGAAAUUGAAAUCGCUGUGAAGAUGCAGUGUAUCCGCGGCUAGACGGAANGUGUAUCCGCGGCUAGACGGAAAGACCCCGUGAACCUUUACUAUAGCUUUGCACUGGACUUUGAAUUUGCUUGUGUAGGAUAGGUGGGAGGCUUUGAAGCGUGGACGCCAGUCUGCGUGGAGCCAUCCUUGAAAUACCACCCUGGCAACUUUGAGGUUCUAACUCAGGUCCGUUAUCCGGAUCGAGGACAGUGUAUGG
rnacentral:rRNA from 1 species